rnacentral:lncRNA from 1 species
AUGGUGUGGCCAGCCUGGGAGGAGGGGCUGCCUGGGCGGAGGCUUCUGUGUGAACGUUCAGAGUGCGGCUGUGCUGGCUCCCCAGUGCCUCCUGUCUCGAGGCACAGCUCUCAGGUGGAUGGAAGACAGAGGCCCUGGAAACCAUGGGCCCGGCUUGUCCCCACCCUGGUUCUGCAGCUUCAGCUGGUGGACAAGAGCUCCCGCCAGUCCCCGGGCCCCCAGAGUCUCAACCUCCCUCCUUGCUCAGAGUCUGUGCUUGUGUCCGGAAAAGGCACGAAGCAGAGGUUGUGGCAUUGGCCCCAGACACUCCCUCUGAGAGCCCUGUGCCCACCCUGGGCCUCAUGGGCCUCUCAUCCGGGAGACACAUGUUAUCUGAUCGAGGAGGACUCCCCACUCCGCAUCACUGCCCUCCUCCCACAGAGACACAGGGUGUCCUGCAGGGAGAAGAAGAGCCCAGUCAACUGGCUCUGCACGAAAAGUACCCUCUGGAGACAGAUUUAUCCGAGUGCUGGCUCUUCGUGCAGCCAGAACAUGUGGUUUCUGAGGCCAGCUCGGGGAGCUCAAGGGACACAUGGCCACGCCUCCCACAGCGCUGAUGGCUUCGUCUCAGCAAAUUACGAACAAAACCUUCUCAGUCAAUCAGGGUGGGCCCCUGGAGGAAGUGGUGAGGUCACAAAGGUGGAACAGCUGGCUGUGUGUGUGUCUGUGUGUACCUGUGUGUAUCCGUGUGUAUCUGUGUGCGUGUCUGUAUUUCUGUAUGUGUGUGUGUCGGUGUGUGCAUCUCCAUAUCUGUGUGUCUGUAUAUGUCUGUGUGUAUCUGUGUGUAUCUGUGUGUGUGUCGGUGUGUGCAUCUCCAUAUCUGUGUGUCUGUGUGUGUAUCUGUGUCUGUGUAUUUCUGUGUGUGUCUCCAUAUCUGUGUGUUUCCAUCUGUGUGUUUCUGUGUGUGUCUGUGCGUGUCUGUGUGUCUGUAUUUCUGUGUGUAUCUGUGUGUGUUUGUCUGUGUGUCUGUAUCUAUGUUUGUGUGUACACAGAUCCACACUGUGA